AACGCACAUUGCGCCCGCCAGCACUCUGGCGGGCAUGCCUGUCCGAGCGUCAUUUCACCCCUCGAGCCCGCCUCGGUGUUGGGGGACCACGGCCCAGCGCCGCCCCCGAAAUGCAGUGGCGACCCCGCCGCGGACCCCCCUGCGCAGUAGCUCCCAGAGAACCUCGCACCGGAGACGCGGAGGCGGUCACGCCGUAAAACGCCCCCCCUUCGAAAGUUGACCUCGGAUCAGGUAGGGAUACCCGCUGAACUUAA
rnacentral:misc_RNA from 1 species